AUUGAACGCUGGCGGCAUGCUUUACACAUGCAAGUCGAACGGCAGCGCGGGCUUCGGCCUGGCGGCGAGUGGCGAACGGGUGAGUAAUGCAUCGGAACGUGCCCAGUAGUGGGGGAUAGCCCGGCGAAAGCCGGAUUAAUACCCCAUACGACCUUAGGGUGAAAGCGGGGGACCGAAAGGCCUCGCGCUAUUGGAGCGUCCGAUGUCGGAUUAGCUAGUUGGUGGGGUAAAGGCUUACCAAGGCGACGAUCCGUAGCUGGUCUGAGAGGACGACCAGCCACACUGGAACUGAGACACGGCCCAGACUCCUACGGGAGGCAGCAGUGGGGAAUAUUGGACAAUGGGGGCAACCCUGAUCCAGCCAUGCCGCGUGCGGGAAGAAGGCCUUCGGGUUGUAAACCGCUUUUGUUCGGGAAGAAAUGCUCUGGGCUAAUACCCCGGGGGGAUGACGGUACCGGAAGAAUAAGCACCGGCUAACUACGUG
rnacentral:rRNA from 1 species